rnacentral:lncRNA from 10 species
CUGGGCAAUAUGGCAAAACCCCAUCGCUACAAAAAAUACAAAAAUUAAUCAGGCAUGGUGGUGUUUGCCUAAAGUCCCAACUACUCAGGAGGCUGAGGUAGGAGGAUCGCUUGACCCCGGGAGGUUGAGGCCGCAGCGAGCUAUGAUUACACCACUGCACUCCAGCCUGAGCGACAGAGUGAGACACGCUGUGUCUUUAAAAAAAAAAAAAGAAGUGAAGGGAAAGGAACAAAAAUGGAAUGAAGAGGGGAAAAAGGAAAAGGAAGCAAACAAGAAGAGACUAAUCUAUGACCUAUCAGGAAAAGCUUCCCAGAGGAGUUACCAUCUAAGUUAAAUUCUGAAAAAUUAAACCCCAAAACACGAAUCAUUUAUUUUUGACCCAUGUUAACCUUUAUCACUUACAGAUUGUAAGACCAGCAAGCAAAUGCCUAUUUCUUUAUGAAGUAACCACUUGUCUGUAAAGGAAAAAUUAGCA